GAUGUAACCGCCAUUGGGGUAGGAAGCUCGGAAACCUCUCCGGAUGGGCAAGCCUUUUGGAAGUUAUUCACAUGUGUCUAACGUUCAUCCCAUAGUACAGGACAGAAUCAUCAUUUAGGAAUACUGAUUCAACAGCCGAAUGAAUGAAUGACAAGACAGUUAUUUCUCCAGGACCCUGUGGCACAUAGGAGUUACACAGUGGAACUAUGGACUAUAACCCCAACACUUGUGAGGCUGAGGUAAAAUUUCAAGUUACAAGGAAGCCUGAAUUACAUAGGAAAAGAAAAAAGAGAAGAGAAAAAAAUUAUUAUUUUCAAACCUCUUAUGUUUCUAGAAGUUCUUCAUUAAGAAAAAAAGACAAAAACAAGACAAAAGGGCCAGCCAAGAACUGGAAAACAGUCCUAUAACACGCAGGCCAGGGCUAGCCAGGAACAGAUGUUUUGUGGAGAGCCCAAGUCACCCAGCUUGAUACCCCUCCCUCUUCGUGUGAGUCCAACCCAGCCUCCUUCCCUUGGCAUUGACUGGACACCUGUGUCCAUGCUUUAAUCCCCAG